rnacentral:rRNA from 1 species
AGUGAACGCUGGCGGUAGGCCUAACACAUGCAAGUCGAACGGCAGCACAGUAAGAGCUUGCUCUUACGGGUGGCGAGUGGCGGACGGGUGAGGAAUACAUCGGAAUCUACUUUUUCGUGGGGGAUAACGUAGGGAAACUUACGCUAAUACCGCAUACGACCUACGGGUGAAAGCAGGGGAUCUUCUGACCUUGCGCGAUUGAAUGAGCCGAUGUCGGAUUAGCUAGUUGGCGGGGUAAAGGCCCACCAAGUCGACGAUCCGUAGCUGGUCUGAGAGGAUGAUCAGCCACACUGGAACUGAGACACGGUCCAGACUCCUACGGGAGGCAGCAGUGGGGAAUAUUGGACAAUGGGCGCAAGCCUGAUCCAGCCAUACCGCGUGGGUGAAGAAGGCCUUCGGGUUGUAAAGCCCUUUUGUUGGGAAAGAAAAGCAGCAGGUUAAUACCCCGCUGUUCUGACGGUAACCAAAGAAUAAGCACCGGCUAACUUCGUG